GUGAGGAAUAUUGGUCAAUGGGCGAGAGCCUGAACCAGCCAAGUCGCGUGAAGGAAGAAGGAUCUAUGGUUCGUAAACUUCUUUUGCAGGGGAAUAAAGUGCAGGAUGUGUCCUGUUUUGUAUGUACCCUGAGAAUAAGGAUCGGCUAACUCCGUGCCAGCAGCCGCGGUAAUACGGAGGAUCCGAGCGUUAUCCGGAUUUAUUGGGUUUAAAGGGUGCGUAGGUGGUUUGAUAAGUCAGCGGUGAAAGUUUGCAGCUUAACUGUAAAAAUGCCGUUGAAACUGUCGGACUUGAGUGUAAAUGAGGUAGGCGGAAUGCGUGGUGUAGCGGUGAAAUGCAUAGAUAUCACGCAGAACUCCGAUUGCGAAGGCAGCUUACUAAGCUACAACUGACACUGAAGCACGAAAGCGUGGGGAUCAAACAGGAUUAGAUACCCCUGUAGUCC
rnacentral:rRNA from 1 species